rnacentral:rRNA from 1 species
CUACGGGCCGCUCCAGUGGGGAAUGUUGCACAAUGGGCGCAAGCCUGAUGCAGCCAUGCCGCGUGUAUGAAGAAGGCCUUCGGGUUGUAAAGUACUUUCAGCGGGGAGGAAGGGAGUAAAGUUAAUACCUUUGCUCAUUGACGUUACCCGCAGAAGAAGCACCGGCUAACUCCGUGCCAGCAGCCGCGGUAAUACGGAGGGUGCAAGCGUUAAUCGGAAUUACUGGGCGUAAAGUGCACGCAGGCGGUUUGUUAAGUCAGAUGUGAAAUCCCCGGGCUCAACCUGGGAACUGCAUCUGAUACUGGCAAGCUUGAGUCUCGUAGAGGGGGGUAGAAUUCCAGGUGUAGCGGUGAAAUGCGUAGAGAUCUGGAGGAAUACCGGUGGCGAAGGCGGCCCCCUGGACGAAGACUGACGCUCAGGUGCGAAAGCGUGGGGAGCAAACAGGAUUAGAUACCCGGGUAGUC